rnacentral:sRNA from 2 species
UUGCAGGAUGUCUAGGGUUCCGUUUGCAUUUGCAAAGUCUGGUCCGAGAGAUAUCGCCCGGCGGCACAUCCGUUGGGUACACGGCGGGGCAAAAUCCCGGGAGGC